UACAUGCAGUCGAGCGAGCUGAAUUCAAAGAUCCCUUCGGGGUGAUUUGUUGGAUGCUAGCGGCGGAUGGGUGAGUAACACGUGGGCAAUCUGCCCUAAAGACUGGGAUACCACUUGGAAACAGGUGCUAAUACCGGAUAACAACAUGAAUCGCAUGAUUCAAGUUUGAAAGGCGGCGCAAGCUGUCACUUUAGGAUGAGCCCGCGGCGCAUUAGCUAGUUGGUGGGGUAAAGGCCUACCAAGGCAAUGAUGCGUAGCCGAGUUGAGAGACUGAUCGGCCACAUUGGGACUGAGACACGGCCCAAACUCCUACGGGAGGCAGCAGUAGGGAAUCUUCCACAAUGGACGCAAGUCUGAUGGAGCAACGCCGCGUGAGUGAAGAAGGUCUUCGGAUCGUAAAGCUCUGUUGUUGGUGAAGAAGGAUAGAGGCAGUAACUGGUCUUUAUUUGACGGUAAUCAACCAGAAAGUCACGGCUAACUACGUGCCAGCAGCCGCGGUAAUACGUAGGUGGCAAGCGUUGUCCGGAUUUAUUGGGCGUAAAGCGAGCGCAGGCGGAAUGAUAAGUCUGAUGUGAAAGCCCACGGCUCAACCGUGGAACUGCAUCGGAAACUGUCAUUCUUGAGUGCAGAAGAGGAGAGUGGAACUCCAUGUGUAGCGGUGGAAUGCGUAGAUAUAUGGAAGAACACCAGUGGCGAAGGCGGCUCUCUGGUCUGCAACUGACGCUGAGGCUCGAAAGCAUGGGUAGCGAACAGGAUUAGAUACCCUGGUAGUCCAUGCCGUAAACGAUGAGCGCUAGGUGUUGGGGACUUUCCGGUCCUCAGUGCCGCAGCAAACGCAUUAAGCGCUCCGCCUGGGGAGUACGACCGCAAGGUUGAAACUCAAAGGAAUUGACGGGGGCCCGCACAAGCGGUGGAGCAUGUGGUUUAAUUCGAAGCAACGCGAAGAACCUUACCAGGUCUUGACAUCCUGCGCUACACCUAGAGAUAGGUGGUUCCCUUCGGGGACGCAAAGACAGGUGGUGCAUGGCUGUCGUCAGCUCGUGUCGUGAGAUGUUGGGUUAAGUCCCGCAACGAGCGCAACCCUUGUCUUUAGUUGCCAUCAUUAAAUUGGGCACUCUAAAGAAACUGCCGGUGACAAACCGGAAGAAAGGGGGGGAUAAAGCCAAGUCACCAUGCCCCCUUUGAACCGGGGGACAACA
rnacentral:rRNA from 1 species